rnacentral:lncRNA from 1 species
UUUUUUUUUAUUUUUUAUUUUUUUUGUCUUUUUGCUAUUUCUUUGGGCUGCUCCCGCGGCAUAUGGAGGUUCCCAGGCUAGGGGUCAAAUCGGAGCUGUAGCCACCGGCCUACGCCAGAGCCACAGCAACGCGGGAUCUGAGCCACGUCUGCAACCUACACCACAGCUCACGGCAACGCAGGAUCAUUAACCCACUGAGCAAGGGCAGGGACCGAACCCGCAACCUCAUGGUUCCUAGUCAGAUAUCGUUAACCACUGCGCCAUGACGGGAACUCCGAAUAUAUUUUGUAACUUAGUGAAUAGUGUAUUGAAAGUGAGGAACAGAAUGGUUGUCUGGAUACAGAACGCUUGUCAGUAUACUAGUUGUUUACUCUGGUGAUUAUGUGGCUGACCAGGAGCUGUAGGUCCCUGGCCCGCCCAACAUCACAAGAGUGUAUUGUCCUGCAUAUAUAUCACACUAGCCUGCAAAAGGUCAAAAUUUAGAAUUCCAAGUAUGGUUGCUAUUGAAUGCAUACUGAUUUGGCACCAUCAUAAAACCGAAAAAUCGUAAGUUUAACCAUUUUAAGUUGGGGACCGUCUAUAUAUAAAAGAGGGCCUGUGUGUGUGCAAAAAUGUCCUGAAGGAGAGAAAAUCUGAUCUGAAUCUAGCAGAACUGCUACAUGUAAAAGAGGGUUGGGUGCAGGCUUAAAUGCAUCCUGAGGAUCAAGGAAACACAUUUAGUAUUUCCCCUGUUUUAACUGGACCAGAGAGUAAAAGCAUUCAACUUGUAUCUAAUAAGUUAAACACGAUUUCCUGGGCACUCACCAGUGCAUCCUAAUAUUGUUGACUAAGAAAAAUAACUGAAUAGACAUUUCUCCAAGGAAGAUAGAAAGAUGGCCAACAAGCACAUGAAACAAAGCUCAACAUCACUGAUUAUUAGAGAAAUGCAAAUCAAAACUACCAUGAGAUACCACCUCACACCAGUCAAAAUGGUCAUCAUUAAUAGUCCACAAAUAACAAAUGCUGGAGGGGGUGUGGAGAAAAGGGAACCCUCCUACACUGUUGGUGGGAAUGUAAGCUGGUACAACUAUUAUGGAGAACAGUAUGGAGGUACCUUAGAAAACUAUACAUAGAACUACUAUAUGACCCAGCAAUCCCACUUUUGGGCAUAUAUCCAGACAAAACUUUCCUUGAAAGACACAUGCACUUGCAUGUUCAUUGCAGCACUAUUCACAAUAGCCAAGACAUGGAAACAACCCAAAUGUCCAUUGACAGAUGACUGGAUUAGGAAGAUGUGAUAUAUAUACACAAUGAAAUGCUACUCAAAACAUGUAUGGAACUAGAGACUCUCAUACUGAGUGAAGUAAGUCAGAAAGAGAAAUACCAUAUGAUAUCACUUAUAUCUGGAAUCUAAUAUAUGGCACAAAUGAACCUUACCAAAGAAAAGAAAACCAUGGACUUGGAGAAUAGACUUAUGGUUGCCUGGGGGAAGGGGGAAGGGGUGGGAUGGAUUGGGAGCUUGGGGUUAAUAGAUGCAGACUAUUGCCUUUGGAAUGGAUUAGCAAUGAGAUCCUGCUGUGUAGCACUGGGAACUCUGUCUAGUCAUUAUGAUGGAGCAUGAUAAUGUGAAAAAAAAAUAAUGUAUACAUGUAUGUUUAACUGGGUCACCAUGCUGUAUAGUAGGACAAAAUGAUGUAUUGGGGAAUUAAAAAAAAUGAAAAAUAACUGAUUGCUCAUUCCCAGAGGAGAUAAAGUAGGGGUACAAGAGAAGACAAGGGUGAUCCAUUUGUGGAAGCCACAUUUUUCCCUCAGGCAAUAAUCAAAUAGUAACGUGAACAGAGAGUAAAAUGAGAGGAUCCUUGUGUGCUUUAAGAGGAGAUCUGUUUGAUGUUGGUCUGUUUUCAUGAGUUGCUACUUGCAAUUUUUUUUUAAGGCCAGUUACUGAAGGAUCUGGUAGGAGGGCUAGACAGAGGAUCUUGGAGACUUCCUCCCAAAUAAAAUCUCAAUCCAUGUUCUCUCAAUCAGUGAUGAGCAGCCAGUUACCAAGUGUGGCUAUUACAUCUCAAGUUCUUUCCAUAUAUUAUGAAAGAACCAAGAAUCCUAAAACAACCAAAGCAAAUAAGAUAAAAAGGCCUCUGAGAGCUUGAAGGAUCACAAAAUCAUAUGAACGUAAUACUAACGCUUAUGCUAAUCUAACACAAAAUACUAUUACAAACAUUAAUACCAAUACUUGCUAAACUGUAUUGAAUGCUUCCUAUGUUUUAGGCCCUGCACUGAGCACAGAAUCCUAGUGACUCAGCACAUCAUACUCAUCCUAUGAGCUAGUAUUAAUUUAUAUUUACUUUAUAGAUAUGAAAACUGGGGCUCAGAAAGAAUAAUUGACCUGUCCAAGAUCACACAGCUAGAAGGCAAUGAAACAAAGUCACCAACCCAGGCUUGUCCAGCUGCAAAGCCUUUUCCUUAUAAUAUCACUUCCCAAAAGUAAUUCGAGGGCUCAGUGACAUGUAUGUAAUGGCUGUGGGGAAUCUAGGGACUCUGACUCUUCAUGAAACUCAUCAUACCCUUGGAAUCCUUUGAAGUUUCCACUUUCCCCCUUUUGUCAUGGGUAGCCAUCUCACCAUGUCUCAGCCUUGCCCCUUUACUCUUCCUACAUUCAAGAAAGUGAGCAUCAGCUGGCCCUGGCUCUUUGCUGGUUCAUUCAGUGAGCACUGACUGAGCAUGUGCCAUGUGCCAAUGUUUUCUGAGGUCCUGGGAUAGUGGAGUGGACAAGGAGGGGAGGAAAUCAUUGGUUUAAGACUUGGCCAAUACUGCGCUGGCUAGAAUCACUAUGGCUCCUUAUGUACAGAGGACUUUCACAUGCCCCUUCUCCUAGGGUUCCCAGACAGAAAGCUCUGAUGGGAGAGCAGGCAGCCCAGCUCACAAAUGAAGACCAAGCCUCUUAGAGAGCUGAAGUGACUGGUCUAUUGUCAUGCUGCUUGCAGAAUCAGGGUUUGAUGCCAUCCAAGUGAUACCAUAUGGAGGGCUCAGCACUGCUCCUAUGUUCUGUCACUCCUUUUACUUCUUUUCCUCUUUCUCAUUCUCAUACACAUUUAACUUUGUCUGUGUUUUGUCUUUCUUCAUCUGUAAAAUGGGGAGAACAAUAGUGGCUAUUGGUUUGUUGUGAGGAUUAAGUAAAGUAAUACAUGUAAAAAUACUCAGAAUACUGAUGUACUAAUUAUGUAACAAUCAUUAAGUACUGGCACUUGUUACUACUGAUUGUUAGUUACUAGUAUUACUUUACUGCUAACACUAGUAUGCUGCUUUGAGUCCCACACAACAAAUAAAAAAUUAUAAAUAAAUCUGAAAAUACAUGCAAAUGAGCAUAAGCACUUGAUUAUAGAAUGGAAGUUUUGAGUAUUAUGGGGUAAAAAAGCAAUAUAAAAUAAAGAUUCCUAAUUUCAUUGUUUUUUAUACAUAGUUCUAACAGUUUAUAUUGCAGUAAUUCAGGCCACGAGGAGGGCUAAAAUGUAGACUAAAACUUUGACAAAUUCACAAAUGGGAAAGGUGGAGAGGCAGAUACAUAUCCAGGUGAGCAGGUUAAAAUAAGGCAAGGGCUAUAACUGCCCUUGGGGUUAGGAAGGAGGAGGAGAGGGGGAAAGAGAGAAGAGAAGAAAUUUCUUUUUACUGAGCCCGCUAACACACACAUGCAAUUUAAUUCUAAUAGCUGUCAUGUGAGAUAGGUGGUAUUACCCCACUUUGAAAAUGAGAGCAGAGGGACUCAAAAAGUUAAACAACUUGUCAUAGAAUGGAAUGGAAUGGAAUUUUAACACAGUGAUUUUACUCCAAAGCCCAUACUUUUUCUGUCUCACCAACAAUAACAUCAUUAAUCUGGGGAGGGUUGUGGGAGAACAGCUUGUGACUUCUCCCUCCUCUGAGUUCUUAGAUCAUGUGGUAUCUUUAAUUUACACACACACUUAUGCACAGCACUCAUACAGAACACCAUUGGGUUAUUUGCACACCUGAGUGAUCUCUGCAAUUAGGCUGUAAGCCCAUUGAAGGCAUGUUUGGAGCUUAGCAUAUGGUCUUGUGCAUGGUAAGUGUUUAUUGAAUAACCUAGUGGAGGAGAGAGAUUGUUAUGUGCAAGGCUUGAGAGGAGGCAAUGGUUGCUUUUGACCAAAGUAAAGCCAAGCUAGCACCUCUGAGAAUGUCCUCAGUGUGUAGAACCCUUUGGAAGCCACAUUUAAGCUUCAAGUUGCCACCCUUGGACAUAGGUGAUUUCAUUAAGUCUGGAUCACUUACUGAAGCUGGGCGGUUUGGAUUCUUUUCUAAUAACUAGGGACUAUGACCAGGAGAUUUAGUUUGGGUUGGUCUCUUAGAGAAAGGGGAUAUAAAAACUCUGGAAUGGUAGGCUGGUCGUUUUCUGCCUGAGAAGUGGAGAGAAGAAUGAAGCAGAUAUUCAGAAAGAUAACAUAGCCUGGUGGAGAAGUCACUAGAUUUCUGCAGAGUGAUGCACAAAAAGGGAUAUUGUUGGGACCAUGGAACUAGAUCGUUAGAGUCCAUACCCUGGUUCUGUCUCCUAUAGUCAGUGUGACUGUGGGAACAUAGUGUAACCUUCCUAUACCCAUUUCCCCCUUUAUAAAAUGAGAAUAGUAGUACCUCCCUUAGGAUCCCAUGUCACCUGCUUUAGCACAGUGUUGAACACAUGAUACUCCCUCUUUGAAUUGCAGCUAUUGUUUUAAGGUUGUACAUCCAUUUUAUUCUGCUGGGUUUUUCAUCUGUAUGUUUCUGGCAUCUUGGAUACCUUUUCUUACUCAUUUACAAACUCUCAGAGGCAGGCUUGCUACUUGCACCACAAAGCAAAUCAAAGUCCUCUCAGAUGCCAGUGGAGAAACCAGUCUCUCAGCAGCUUUGGCCUGAGCAUACUGAUCAGCUAUGAGCCAGAAACACACACGUGUCUUUUCAGAGGUGAUACCCCAGGCCCCAGCACAUUUCAAAGCACAGGCCUUUCUCUUCUAUGGAGAAGGGAUUCUGCUUAUUUUUCUCUCUGAUUCUUGGGGCUUCUUAUUAGUUUGGUGCAGGGCUGGGGAUAUUAGUGUCCUCUUGUUGUCAAGAACAUUCUCCAAAGUCAUGAAUAAUCAUGUUGUCAUGCCUGUGUGACUUAAAAUAUAAAAGGUGCAAUUUGUGCAAGUUUUAAAGUUACUUUUUCAAAAGAGUUCAACUAGUGAAGCUGUCAGACUGUCAGAAUGUAAGCACAAGAGCAGAUCCUUAGCUGUUGCUUAUGAAUUUUCAAAGGACUUUAGCACAUUUUUAAUUGGAUUUCUUCCUCCUAGCCUUCAAAUCAAUGUUGUUUGGCUAUUACUUCCGUUAAGUGGGGGUGACAAAAUAUAAUGCUGGGUUGGUGGGAGGGGUGGGUGGAAAGCUUGCUUCACUUAAGGUUACCUUCUAGGUCCAAGGCUAUUUAUUGGCCAGUGUCUUGGUUUCUCAGAGAACGAAUAAUCUUAUUUAUUUAAUUUUUUAAAGAAAGGUGAAGAAAGGAGAGGGAUGCCAUCUAGCCUAGAUGUGCACAAAGUUUCUUAAUAACAGCUUCUAUUUUCAUAGCUCUUCUCAGAGUACUUAAACAUACCAAGAUUUACCUGACCCCCCCCCCCCCCAACAAGGGUAUUUAUUCUCCUUCUCUUACGUAUGUGUAAGCAGAUUCUAAGUCUUGGGGGGACCCUUGUUUCCUAUGUCUCUCAAUUCAUGAGGAGGGACUCUUCCUAGAAAAACACUUUUGGUUCCUUAUCACCAUCUCACUCCUCCCCAAGAAAGAGGGCUGACUUUGGUGAGUUUGAGAGAAAGAAGUGGGCCUGGGAAGCUUGGUACCUUGUUCUUCGCUCAGAACAGCCCACCCACAGAAGGGGUGCACUGGUUGGUUCUCUUGGUCAUGCUGAGACUUCUGUGGUAAAGACUUGUCCCUGGUGAGGUCACGUCUGUGGGCAAUGGGAUGGGCGAUGUUCUUAAAUGCGCUUUGCAGCACAUCUUAACAUAGUUUUCAUCAUUAAUAAGGCUGAUAUUUUAGUUUCCAACUAUCUGACUCCUGGGAUUAUCUCUUAAUUUAAACCAUGUGGGAUGGAGGGUACAGUCUAGAAAGUGUUAUUUUUCAGUCCCUAUUAACACAGAUAAGGAGAAUCAAAUCCAAGAUUAAAUAAGUCAAUAAUUAUGAUUUUUUUAAAUUUAUCCCCCACAUACUUAUUGGGUGUCUACUAAGUGUUUGGGCAUAGGUUCUAAAAUGAGUUCUCAUCAAGCAUAUUUUAAUGUUGAAAGGCAUUCAACAAUUAAAUCCUCAAUUGUAAAAGGACUAGGCAAAGAAGUACAUAAUGCUUGGAGAAUAUAUGACAGUGGUCCUGACACAGUCUGGAAAUUGAAGGUUGUCUUCUCUGAGCCCUGGGACAUAAAUUGGACUCUGAGAGAUAAGCAGGUGGAGACUGGCCAAAGCAUUUCUGCAAAGAAGGCUAAAAAUAAUCCUAGUACAAGGUACCUGGGAACCUGAAAGGAAGCAGGUGUGGUUGAAACAGAAGAAUGGAACUGGGGCACAUGGCAAGAUGGAGCUGGCAAGGUAGGCCAAUUGCACAGGGUCUUGUGGGUCGGAUUAAG